GUUUUAUAUUCCACGUAAAGCAGCCUUCUUCACAGCCAGCCAGCAGGUACUGCUCUGGGCAGGUGGGGACCAGGGCAAUCCGUAAGGGUACAGACAAACAUUCCAGUACCAGCAGCUGGCUUGCUUUGAAAUUGUAGUCACAGUCUGGAAUUCCAAUAUCCCAGAGCACAAUUCGCUUGUCAUAGGAUGCAGUGAAGAGGUGAGUUUCUCGAGUUGGGCUGAAGCAGACAGUGGCAAUGGGCUUUUUAUGAGCCUUUAUUUCUCCGUAGCAGAAGUCAGCUGCCACAUGAAUCAGUUUGACAAUCCCUCUCCUUCCUGCAGCUGCCAAGAUAUUAUGAGAUUUCUUCCGACUGUCACUGAGUACCAUCGGGAGAGUUGUCCAUGCAACACUGAAGAACUCCUCUGUAGCCACCUUAUACUUCUUCAGCACCACCCCUGUUUCACAAUCGAUCAGACAGACAGACUCCCCUCCACACGUUGCCACAGUUCUGGAACAACUCACAAUGGGAUCUUUCCUGGGUGCACAGUCAAGCAAUGGCUCGAAGACACAGGACCAGAGCUGCGUUUUAAAAUCCUCGCGGCUGUUGCCUUUACUGUGACACUGGAGAAAAUGCAAUGGCUCUGCACUGAAAUCCUCCUUGCCCUUGGAGUUCCUUACUGGGGUCAAGUUAACAACCCCAUUGUCCUGCUCCUGGCUUUUCUGUUCUCCUGUCAGCUGGCUGGAUCUUCUAUUGCUUUGCCCUUUGGGAAACUGCUCUCCGUUCUUAUGUGUCCCUUCAUCUCCCUGCUCAGGGGUUGCCUCUUCGGCUGGCUCAUUCGAUGCUGUUGCUUUAUCAGGAGCUGGGUCAUCCUCCUCUUGACUGGAAUUUCUAGGUACACUCUCCUUCUCAGUUUUUGCCUUGGACUUGGACUUCUUCCUUCCAAAACGUGAUUUUGAACUAUUUCUUUUCCUCUUUCUGGGAGUUACCGUAACCUAUAAGGCAUGUUGUCAGUUUCUGCAGAAGAAGCUUCCUCAAGAUGUGCAGAUGGUUUGCAAGUAAGAAAGAUCCUUUAUUCAAAUCCCACUACCCUCCCAAAGUCACAGACUAGGUUCCAAAAAUCAGACAGCCCAGACUUACAGAGUUCCUAGAGGCAGAAGCUAA
rnacentral:lncRNA from 1 species